GGAUAGACAUGCAGUCGAACGGGGUUUAGUUUGUAGUAAUACACGCUAAAUCCAGUGGCGAACGGGUGCGUAACACGUGAGUAAUCUGCCGGGAAGUGGGGGAUAGCUCGCCGAAAGGCGAAUUAAUACCGCAUAUGACAAGGGAAGACAUCUUUCCGAAGUCAAAGUCGCAAGACGCUUCCUGAUGAGCUCGCGGCCUAUCAGCUAGUUGGUGAGGUAACGGCUCACCAAGGCAAUGACGGGUAGCUGGUCUGAGAGGACGACCAGCCACACUGGAACUGAGACACGGUCCAGACACCUACGGGUGGCAGCAGUCGAGAAUUUUUCACAAUGGGGGAAACCCUGAUGGAGCGACGCCGCGUGGAGGAUGAAGGUCUUCGGAUUGUAAACUCCUGUCAUGCGAGAACAAGAAAGUGAUAGUAUCGCAAGAGGAAGAGACGGCUAACUCUGUGCCAGCAGCCGCGGUAAUACAGAGGUCUCAAGCGUUGUUCGGAUUCAUUGGGCGUAAAGGGUGCGUAGGUGGCGUGGAAAGUUGAGUGUGAAAUCCUAGGGCUUA
rnacentral:rRNA from 1 species